rnacentral:rRNA from 1 species
GAUGAACGCUAGCGGCAGGCUUAACACAUGCAAGUCGAGGGGUAUAGAAAGCUUGCUUUCUAGAGACCGGCAAACGGGUGCGGAACACGUACACAACCUACCUUUAUCAGGGGGAUAGCCUUCGGAAACGGAGAUUAAUACCCCAUAGUAUUAUGGAGUGGCAUCAUUUUAUAAUUAAAGAAUUUCGGAUAGAGAUGGGUGUGCGUAAGAUUAGCUAGUUGGUGAGGUAAAGGCUCACCAAGGCAACGAUCUUUAGCUGAUGUGAGAGCAUGAUCAGCCACACGGGCACUCAGACACGGGCCCGACUCCUACGGGAGGCAGCAGUGAGGAAUAUUGGUCAAUGGACGGAAGUCUGAACCAGCCAUGCCGCGUGAAGGAUGAAGGCGUUCUGCGUUGUAAACUUCUUUUAUUUAGGAAGAAACCACUUUUUUUUAAGAGUGUUGACGGUAUUAAAUGAAUAAGCACCGGCUAACUCCGUGCCAGCAGCCGCCGUAAAAC